AAGCGGUGGAGCAUGUGGUUCAAUUCGAAGCAACGCGCAGAACCUUACCUGGGCUUGACAUGCUAGGAUUAUCCUUGUGAAAGCAGAGUAGGCCCCGCAAGGGGUACAACUAGUACAGGUGCUGCAUGGCUGUCGUCAGCUCGUGUCGUGAGAUGUCGGGUUAAGUCCCUUAACGAGCGAAACCUUUGCCCUUAGUUACCAUCGGGUCAUGCCGGGGACUCUAAGGGGACUGCCGGUGUCAAACCGGAGGAAGGUGGAGAUG
rnacentral:rRNA from 1 species